rnacentral:rRNA from 1 species
CCUUGCGCUAUCAGAUGAGCCUAGGUCGGAUUAGCUAGUUGGUGGGGGUAAAUGGGCUCACCAAGGCGACGAUCCGUAACUGGGUCUGAGAGGAUGAUCAGUCACACUGGAACUGAGACACGGUCCAGACUCCUACGGGAGGCAGCAGUGGGGAAUAUUGGGACAAUGGGCGAAAGCCUGAUCCCAGCCAUGCCGCGUGUGUGAAGAAGGUCUUCGGAUUGUAAAGCACUUUAAGUUGGGAGGAAGGGUUGUAGAUUAAUACUCUGCAAUUUUGACGUUACCGACAGAAUAAGCACCGGCUAACUCUGUGCCCAGCAGCCGCGGGUAAAUA